CUACGGGAGGCACCAGUGAGGAAUAUUGCACAAUGGGGGGAACCCUGAUGCAGCAACGCCGCGUGGAGGAUGACGCAUUUCGGUGUGUAAACUCCUUUUAUAUGUCAAGAAAAUGACGGUAGCAUAUGAAUAAGCACCGGCGAACUCCGUGCCAGCGCCGCGGUAAUACGGAGGGUGCAAGCGUUACUCGGAAUCACUGGGCGUAAAGGACGCGUAGGCGGGUUGGAAAGUCAGGUGUGAAAUCCUACAGCUUAACUGUAGAACUGCACUUGAAACUUCUAAUCUAGAGUAUGGGAGAGGGAGAUGGAAUUAGUGGUGUAGGGGUAAAAUCCGUAGAUAUCACUAGGAAUACCUAAAGCGAAGGCGAUCUCCUGGAACAUUACUGACGCUAAGGCGUGAAAGCGUGGGGAGCAAACAGGAUUAGAUACCCCCGUAGUC
rnacentral:rRNA from 1 species